UACGGAGGGUGCGAGCGUUGUCCGGAUUUAUUGGGUUUAAAGGGUGCGUAGGCGGCCCCUUAAGUCAGUGGUGAAAGCCCGGGGCUCAACCCCGGAACCGCCAUUGAUACUGGGAGGCUUGAGUACAGACGAGGUAGGCGGAAUUGAGGGUGUAGCGGUGAAAUGCUUAGAUACCCUCAAGAACACCGAUUGCGUAGGCAGCUUACUAGGCUGUAACUGACGCUGAGGCACGAAAGCGUGGGGAGCGAACAGG
rnacentral:rRNA from 1 species